GCCCAAGUAGCUCAGUUGGUAGAGCAACUCCAUGGUAAGGAGUAGGUCGCCAGUUCAAAUCUGGCCUUGGGCU
rnacentral:tRNA from 1 species